GCAGCAGGUCGGUUUGUCGCCACGGCGCUAUUGUCGUGGAGGAAAGUCCGGGCAACGCAGAGCGCCAUACUUCCUAACGGGAAGCUAUCCGCGAGGGUAGAUCAGCGUAACAGAAAACGACCGCCCCGGCCGGUGCCGGGGUAAGGGUGAAAAGGCGAGGUAAGAGCUCACCGGGCAUUGCAGCAAUGCAGUGCGCCGUACGCAUUAUGGGUUGCAAGGCCAUGUAUAUCGGAUUUUAGGGUUGCUCGCCCGAUGCCGAGGGGUAGGCCGCUAAAGGGGAGUGGCGACACUUUCCCGUAGAUAAAUGACAAACGUCCGCUUCGGCGGAAUACAGAACCCGGCUUACAGACCGGCUGCUUUU
rnacentral:RNase_P_RNA from 1 species